CAAAGCGAGUCAGCGCCCGCCGGUGCGACUGCAGCGCACUUGAAAUUAUUUCCCCAAAACACUUUGGACCACUUUUGCAACCGGCAGAGGUGGACAAAGCACUCACACUGAAGGUCAAGUCAAGUCGCGUUCGUGCAAAAACGCUCGAGGGUAACGGCUGAAAACGUUCAAAGACUGAGAACAAUUUAGGACGGAAUGUUGUACAUAUAUGCGGCACGCUGGACGACUGGUUAGCACAUCUGCCUCGCAGUCCUGGGAACCGGGGUUCAAAUCCCCGGCCCCGCCUGUGUGGAGUUUGCACGUUCUCCCCGCGCCUGCGUGGCUUUUCUCCGGGCACUCCGCUUUCCUCCCACAGCCCAAAAUACAUGCAUGCUAGGUUAAUUGAGGAAGCUAAAUUGCCCGUAGGUGUGAAUGGUUGUUUGUUUGUAUGUGCCCCGCGAUUGAAAUGAAGCGAGUCGGGUCGAUUCGAGUCACGACUCGGUCGAAGCAAGUUGCGAGUCAACUCGUCCGAUCUUGCAACAUCGAUCGGAGUGGUCAGGAAAGGGUUUCCGCUCAUCGGAACGCUAAAAACGUUGGCACAUCUUAUACAACUUUUGAGAUUAGGAUUGAUUGAAUUGAUUGCACUGAAUUGUUUUCAAGUUGUAUUUCAAACUCCACUUUAUUUCUAAACAAACUACGCUGUUGACUUUGUGGAGACGGUUCUUAAGCAAACACCAUUAAACAAAAUGCAACAUUUCACCUUAAAUGUGACGCCUGACCCAUACAACUCAUUUGAAAAAAAAGAAAAGAAAAAGGAAACUCUUUUCAACAGAAGUCAAAAUAAAAAUAUAAAAAAAUAGCGUAUUGCGGUGUUUGCAUGUGCGCCUUCUCAUAAUUGGGGUGGCUGUGUUUAGAAUGAAACAAUCUCAUUUGAAUCGUUUGUCAUUCGAUGAAAGGUUGUGUGUGAUAUUUUAGAGGUUAGUAGACGUAACUGCCCUUCACUCCAUACCAGUAGGUGGCAAUAAUGCGCCCCAAGCGCUAGCAAGCGCCACAAAAAGAAGAUGGCGGCGAUGGCGACGCUGGCGACGCUGGCGACGGCGAUGUUCGCCUCCCGCUGCCCCCGCCGCUGGGGGGCCCAAGCCCGCAGGAGCUUCGGGCGGUCGGCAGCUCGCGGCGUGUUCGACCGAAACACCAAGAAGACGCAGAAGGAGCGAGCCGCCGCGGGCGGCCGCGGCCAAAAGUACGACUACGUCAGGGAGGAGGUUGGCAGUCGAGUGGCGGACCGUGUGUACGAUGUGGCCAGGACCUUUCCUCUGGCGUUGGAGAUCGGCGCCGGACGAGGUCACGUUGCGCAACAUUUAAGCAAGGACACGGUGGAGCGUUUGUUUUUGACGGACAUCUCCGAGACCGCCCUGGUAUGCGAUCGUCGCCGCCGCUCCCUGCGGACGAGAACGCCGACUUCUUUGAAGGCGUCGCUUCCCAUGUGCGUUCCGAAACUUUUGUGUCCAGAGGCAGAACGUCGCCGGCGAGAUGAGGCGGCACGCGCUGGCGGCCGACGAGGAGUUCCUUCCUUUCCGGGAGAACUCGUUCGAUCUGGUUCUCAGCAGCAUGAGUCUGCACUGGAUCAACGACCUGCCCGCCGCGCUCAGACAGAUCCACGGCGUCCUGAAGCCGGACGGCGUGUUCAUCGGCGCCGCGGCCGGCGGCGAGACGCUGUACGAGCUGCGCUGCUCGCUGCAGCUGGCCGAGACGGAGCGAGAGGGGGGCUUCUCGGCGCACGUCUCGCCCUACGCCGCCGUCACGGACCUGGGGAACCUGCUGGGACGGGCCGGAUUCAACACGCUCACCGUGGUGACGUCGCUAACAUCGACACGCGCGAAACGUUUGGCAAACGCCACUUCCGGCUGAAAACGCACUGUGACCUUUACGGGGGAACUCCAUUUGACCUCGUGUCAACUUUUGAACUCUUGUACGUUGCCGUACUUUUUGCGCAACUUGCACGCAGCCGAAUGGCUAAAUUCACGGCAGGUGUUCGAUCCGCUCGUGUGCCUUUCUGUGACGCUUCCGGUCGCCCUCUUGCAAGGGCUGCUGAUGACACGAAGCUCACCGCAGCGAUUGGAAUUUAACUAUGACGUUUUGGGGGCCAUUUUAGGAAUUUAGAAUUUUGCCUUUUGCCUUCCUUGUUGUCAAACGGCUGACACAGGCAACGGGUGGGCAUCUGCGUUCAAAAGUUCACAGGUCAAAUGAGGCUCAGCUGGAAAGGUCGGAGUGCACUUCCGGGCGAUCCGGCAGUUUCACUCGAAAGCCAAAUAUCCCCAACUUUGCGAGUCAGUCGCCCGUGUACUUGACCUUUUGUGUACUUUUACGACACGAACACGCUGGCGUACUAUUGUGUACAUCACGUGACCACACAACUUGGAUACAACGCAUGACUUCAAAAUACAUUUUCAAUUGCAUUCCUCAUUUCAAACUUUGAACAAAGACGACAAAACAGACGAAACAAAUUGUGCCUGUUCCAAUAGGAAUAGGAAAAAGUACAAACCUAUUGAUUCCGCCCCCCCCAUCUUUGCGUCCUUAGGAUCCUAUAACUCGUACUUUAUAUGAACAUCAAUAUAAUGUUAGAGUAAGAAUUUGUCAAAUUAAUGUAUACAAAUCUUGUUCUUGUAUACAUGAAUAAAGUAAUGCAAAUGAUCAGAUAGUCAUGAAAAGAAAACCAUAAAACAAGUAGAAGUGCAACAGUUAAUCGAUUAUGAAGUUAAUGGACAACCUUUGAUCAUCGAUGAAUCGUUUAGACCUUGUUGAAUUUAAAAUUGUCAAAAGUCUCACAAUUUCAGCCUCUCGACCGCAAAUAUUCUCAAAUUUCUGCCGUCCACCAUGUUUGCAGACUUUAUUUUUAUUAAAACAUUUGCAAACAUCUGCUUUUACUUUGGAAAACUAUGAUCAACAUUUUUGCCGAUUUUACAAACCAAACCAAGAACUGAAUCGGCAUCAAUUUGUUUUUCAAUAAAGGGAUGGAAAUUUAGAAAAUGGUUUUGAAUCUGAUUAAUUGAUCAUUUGAAAAUAAUAAUCAACAGAAUGGAACAUUAAAAUAAUGGUUUGUUGCAGCCCUAAAAAAAAAAAGCUUUAAAAACAAACACCUACAUGUAUAUAAUAUAGCGUGAAAUUCUCUAUUGCCCUAUGUAGUAGUAGUAGUAAUAUAUAGCUGUGUAGAAGUUCCAUUUUGAAUGUUUUUUUUGAAUACAAACCGGUUGCUGUUUGUACACUUGCACGCGACUUCCAUCUGUCACAUGACUUCCACACAUUGCAUCUGACGUCACGUGAUUUAGGCACAGGUCCCAUGAGUUGGGUGUCGCACAUCAACGCUUGCAUACGCGUCACAUGACGCGAUACGUCACAUGCUGUGGCAUCAUCACGUGACUUCUGUCACAUGGUUUACAUACUGAACGUCACGACUUGCGUGUGUGUGUGUGGUUUCAGGAUAUCGACGAGUUGCAGGUCUGCUAUCCGGGCAUCAUGGAGUUGAUGAUGGAUUUACAAGGUUAGGGUUCACCUUCAUAUGACCUCCAUCAAAACCACUUCCCGCUCGCGCCACCUCCCCAAAGUGCGCACGCGCGUGUACACGUGCAAACCGAUAUGAAGGGUAUGGGCGAGAGUAACUGCGCUUUGAACCGAAGAUCCAUGUUGCAUCGGGACACCAUUUUGGCGGCGGCGGCUGUUUACAAAG